UGAUAGGAACGUGGGGUUUGCUCAGU
rnacentral:piRNA from 1 species